UUUAAAUGAAACUUCGGUAGAUUUUAGAGGUGGGAAGCGGCGGACGGGUGAGUAACGCGUAUGCAACCUGCCCUUUGCAGAGGGAUAGCCUCGGGAAACCGGGAUUAAAACCUCAUAAAGCUCUGUUAAGACAUCUUAAUAGGGUCAAAGAUUUAUCGGCAAAGGAUGGGCCUGCGUCUGAUUAGUUAGUUGGUGGGGUAACGGCCUACCAAGGCAGCGAUCAGUAGCCGACCUGAGAGGGUGAUCGGCCACAUUGGAACUGAGACACGGUCCAAACUCCUACGGGAGGCAGCAGUGGGGAAUAUUGCACAAUGGGGGAAACCCUGAUGCAGCAACGCCGCGUGAAGGAUGAAGGCCUUUGGGUCGUAAACUUCUGUUCUAAGGGAAGAUAGUGACUGUACCUUAGGAGCAAGUCCCGGCUAACUACGUGCCAGCAGCCGCGGUAAUACGUAGGGGGCAAGCGUUAUCCGGAAUUAUUGGGCGUAAAGGGUACGUAGGUGGUUACCUAAGCACAGGGUAUAAGGCAAUAGCUUAACUAUUGUUCGCCUUGUGAACUGGGCUACUUGAGUGCAGGAGAGGAAAGCGGAAUUCCUAGUGUAGCGGUGAAAUGCGUAGAUAUUAGGAGGAACACCAGUGGCGAAGGCGGCUUUCUGGACUGUAACUG
rnacentral:rRNA from 1 species